AACAAUACCAAAUUGUUGGGCAACAUCAAGAACCCAUGGAAGGAAAGCAUCAUAGAGUAUGCAAUCAAUAGGACGGGGUGAGUUCUUAUGCUUUAUGAUAAGUUCGGUCAAGGUUUUUGACCCAACAGUUUGUAAUCGUACAAGGUAAUCGUCAAUACUCCUAACUUCAAAGAAUCUGCCUUCAUCACAACCAUCUGAUAUCGUGUCGAAAUCGAUGUCGAAGUUGAGUAAUUCGGGUUUCAUGGUUUCGGAGAUGAAGACAGUGGUGGCAAAGGUUGCUUUGAGUCCUUUGGAGGAUAAGCGUUUGGAGAAUUGAAGCAUUGGGUUAAUAUGGCCUUGGGUCGGAUACGGAAUGACCAAUACAUGACCCCUAUUGUUAGCUUUUUUCUCCAUUUGUUUUUGUUCUCCAAUAUAAUUUAUGUUCUUCAAGAAUACUGUAGUAUGCUAUUUAUAUUGGUAGAGUGUGUAAGACCACGACUAAUCUUAAAAGGAGUGGAUGGAAAAAGGAUUAUGUCAUAUCAAUGGAUAGAGUUCUACAGCCCCAAUUAUAGGGAAACAAAAAAAAGUAACGAGCUUUUCUUUGAGUUGUUUAUCUUCAAAACCGAUCAAAUAUAUUUUUUUAUACAAUGUAUAGAAUUGUUUAUAACCCUUAACCCUUAAAUAAGUGAAUAAACGCGUUUCAACACACUCGAACUCACAUCGUCCUACAUUGCCAAUAAUAUUCACGCCAGUCGAACCAAUACUGAAUUGACACAUAUUAAAUAUAUUUUUAAAUAUCAAUCAAUAUCAAAAUAUGAGUAAAAAAUAAAACGAUAUAUAGGUUUACAAGUGUGGAAGGAUUUUGAUCAUAGGAUCUCAAAAAAAUAUAGAUAAGAUGAUUUCAUCCACACAAAAUAUAGGCAAUAUUUUCAACUUUACACCGAAUACAAACAAUGUUCCUUGAUUGAAUCUAAAAUUAUUGAACCAUCCAUCCCUUUCAUGAUAAUGAUACCUUUUGGGUUCAAACGUUCAAUAAUUCAACAAAUAUUGUUCUACCACAUACGUAGACUUGUACAGCCCGACCCGAAGGUCUGUCCGAAAAAUGAAAAUAUUUGGAUAAAAAUAUAAGCUUAAAAGAUGAGUUUCGGCAAAAAAAUUAAGCUCGUUUAGAAAACGGGUUGAGUCCUAAGUAAAGUUUUUUUUUGCCCCGACCUUGGCCUGGAUACAUGUCUAAAAGUAUCGAUACCCUUAACAAAGUAUUUGUACUUUCACAAAAGUAUCAAUACCCUGCCUGGUAUCAAUACCGUUUUAAGGUUAGAUGUUUUGAAAAUUAAAGAAAAAUUGCUUGAGUGUCGAUACUCUCUCUAAGGUGUCGAUACCUCAUAAUGUAUCGAGAUUAUAAGUUUUAAUACAGGUCAAGCCGGUCCGGGCCCGGGGUUAGCAUAUAUAAUCUAGGCCGGUUUGGGUAAAAAUUUACACCCAUUUUUGAGCCGAACCUAAAAUUUUGUUAAAACUCGGCUCAGCACAUGAACAACUCUAAUCACGCUAGAUUUCUAAAUAAGAAGUAAAACUCUUUUAACAUUGCUGUUUCCGUUCAUAAAAUUUGAAUUUUAAAACAAAGAUAUAAGUUUCUAAUCUCUCAACAUAAUAAGCAUUGAUAGAGACUAGGAUGAACCCUGAAAUAUUAUAAAAGAAGUCCAAAAUAUUACUAAUUAUGGCAGCAAUAGAACCACUUGUUCCCUUUGUAUCAAAUUUUCAAUUUUAUAACAUGUUCAAUUUUAUUUUUUUUACAUAUCGUAUGAAUAUUAAAAAUAUAACAUUAUAAUAUAAAUAUUAAAUAAUAUUUAAGUUUAAAUAUUAUAAAAUUCAGUCCAUGCAAAAAAUGUUUAUCUCUAUACUCAUGUUGUAAGUUCGAGUCACAAGAAUUGUUUACUGAUAGUGUGUAUAUAUAUGGCAAUGGUUUGCUACUAUCAGUGGCACGUGAGCUAUGCUAAAUAUAUAUACAAGUCAGAAUAGGGUACCUAACCAAAUUUGGAUUAAUCAUUUAUAAAUAUAAGAAAUAAAAAUAAUUGUAUAUAUGAAACUCGAUUUUGAUUUAAAUACGAAAUUCUUUGCUUAUACAAUAUGUAAAUAUAAAAUGAUAUUUUUUCGCACAAACGAAAGUUGGUGUAGUUUUGAGAUCUUUUUUCCUUUUCAUGCAACAAUUAUUGAAUAAUAUUGUUGGCUUAACUACAAUAUUAGACCCUAAAUUUUUUUUUUACUUCGUUACUUAAUUUAUUUUUUUUGUUAAAAAUAGUACCUAAACUAUCAAUUUCAUCUCAUUUUACCCAAAAUAGUGUAUGAAAUCCAAUAAAAACAUGCUAUAUGUCACAUUCUUAUUGGCCAUUGUCAUGUUUUGGAAUAAAAUGAGAUAAAAUUGAUAGCUUAGAUUUAGAGGUGCUAUGGGCCAGGUUCGGGCUAGGCAUAAGCAUGAUUUUAAUAUACUUUAUGUUUGUCCAAACCCGGCCAAGAAUAUGGGCUUAAAAUUUUGCCCAAACCCGUAAAAUUGUAAAAGGCUAACCCAAGUCCAAUUUAGCCCCGCCCAUAUUAUUUUUUUGAUUUUUUUAAAAAUAUUUAUAUUAUUUUAUCUUAUUUUAAUAUUUAAUAAUUUUAUACAUUUUUUAUUUAUUGAAAAUUUUUAUAUAGUCAUCUUAACAUUAUUUUAAUGUUUACAUUAGAGUAGUAUUAUAUAUUUAGUAUAUGUUUAUUUUUUAAUGUGUUAUAAAUAACAUAAUAUAAAGUAUUAAAACCUUGAAAAUGGGUCGGGUUGGGCUUGAGCCUUGAAUAUUUAAGCCUGAGCUCGACCCAUACUUUAAACGUGCCUAAUUAUUUUUCCCAGACCUAUUUUUCGAACCUAAUAUUUUUGCUUAAACCCUCUUUACAUACAUUGUACCAAAGAGAGCUGAAUAAUCAUAUCGAUUUAAGACAUUUUGAGUGAAAUUUGUGUUUUGAUCAUAAUUGAAUCACUCUAGCUUUUACCUAUUUUCUAAUAACAUAUAAUAUGCGUUAAUGCAUAAAUCACUUCAACUAAGUCUCGAAUUUGUGAUUUUAAAUAUUUUGUUUACUAAGAACACUAACCCUAUUUACAUCGUGCCAAUAUUUUAGAGACCAAUUCAUCAAUAUUCUUGUCCGAACUUCCACCUUCACACACUGCUUCCACAGCCAAUUCCUUCCAUUUCAUAGCAUUUCUUUUCAUUUCAAUCCCUUCUUCCCCUUCCAUAACUUGUCUAAUACACCUCUCUAUUUCAUCUCCACUCACAAUCCCAUCCUCCCUCACAUUAACUCGAACCCCAACUUUCCAAACAUCCUCAACUAGCUUAGCAUCCGUGGUUUGGUCUGUCCACUGCGGCAUCGCCACCAUCGGUACCCCCAAACACAAGGCCUCAAUCGUCGAGUUCCACCCACAAUGCGUGAAAAAACACCCUAUGGCCUCAUUCGCAAGUACCUCAGUUUGUGGUAUCCAAGUAACUAUCAAUGCUUUAUCACCCAUUUCCUCAAUGAACCCGUGUGGGACUUUCGGUAACUCGGAAGACCGAACCACCCACAAGAAAUGAAACCCAGUUUGCUUUAAACCCCGUGCGAGUUCCUUCAUUUGGUCGAUGGUUAGGUUAGCCAUGCUUCCAAAUGAGACGUAAAUGACCGAGCAUGGUGGCUUGGUGGUUAGCCAACAUGUACUGGUAGAGUCUAGUUUAAAGAGAUUGAGAUCGUAAUCUUUGUCGUUUUCAAGUCUUUUAUCUAAAUACAUGGAUGGGAUUGUUGGGCCUAUCGUUAACAAUGGUUGAGUCAUCACCUUCGACAUCGAAUCAACAACCUGUUUAUAUCAAAGAGAUCAUUACAAAAUGGUAAAAGUACCUUGCAUGUCCCUAUACCACUUGAUGCAUUUUUGUUUUUAUACUUUUAAAAAUGGUAACAAUAUAAUAGUGAAAUGAUAACAAAACAAUAAAAAUCAGUGAUAAAAUAGUAACAAAAAUAUUUUUUUUACAAAUUCGUGCCGAGCCUAGGCAAAAAAAAGCUUUCCCAUUUUUCGGGAUUAUAUUUUUGCCCAAAUCUUCUCACUUUUCAAGCUGGCCUUCGAGUUGAACUGGGUGACUCGGCUCAUGGAUAAGUCUAGGUUUUAGUUAGGGUUUUGAAACCAAUUCUCUAGCUAUCACUGCCACCGGGGUGAAUAGAAAUAUUUUUUUGUCUCAAUUUGGCACUUAAGUUUAGCUUAAAUAUUCAAUUUGAUACCUAAGUUUUUUUUGUCCCAAUUAGGUAUCUAUGUUUUGCUACAAGAAAACACAUGUCAAACAUUCAUUAGCAAUAUGAUGUCAUUUGGUUUGGAUACCAAAUUGAAAAAUGAAAUUAAACUUAAAUAUCAAAUUGAAAAAAAAACCCUUAAAAUACCAAAUUUAAAACUAAACUCAAUACUAAAUGAUAUAUUAACCGCUUGAAUUUCUCAAAAAAAUAGAUAAAUUUAAUAUAAUAAUAAAAUGAAAUAUUUAAAUACUAUUAGUUUAUAUUGAUACGAUUGACAUCGACAAUUAUUAUUAAUUGAAGUUAUUAUUAACUAAGCCCAAAAAUAUUAGAGCAGAACUCAAUCAAGUCCUACAAUUGAGAAGAAAAGAGAGAGAGAGAGAGAGAGCUUUAUAUAGUUAAAAGUAAACUAACCUCUUGUUCCAACUUGUAGAAGCUAUUAACUAAAAUGAAAUCAACUUUGUCUAUAUUAGAGAAUUGAUUCAACACCAACUCGAAAUAAGAUGGAUACGAACCCACAACAUAGAUAAAUGACGGCAUGUCUCGAAGAUCAAGCAACGGCAACCCGGGAAUGACAAUUGGCAUCAUUGACGAUGAAAUCGGAAGACUCAAAAGCCCGUUACGAGCACAAUAAUAUAUGUAAUCCACGGCGCACGCCUGCGUAAAAAAAGCGAUUCCAACAAUACCAAAUUGUUGGCCAACAUCAAGAACCCAUGGAAGGAAAGCAUCAUAGAGUAUGCAAUCAAUAGGAUGGGGUGAGUUCUUAUGCUUUAUGAUAAGUUCGGUCAAGGUUUUUGACCCAACAGUUUGUAAUCGUACAAGGUAAUCAUCAACACUCUCGACUUGUAAGAAUCCGCCUUUAUCACAACCGUCUGAAAUUGUGUCGAAAUUGAUGUCGGAGUUGAGUAAUUCGGGUUUCAUGGUUUCGGAGAUGAAGACAGUGGUGGCAAAGGUUGCUUUGAGUCCUUUGGAGGAUAAGCGUUUGGAGAAUUGAAGCAUUGGGUUAAUAUGGCCUUGGCUUGGAUAAGGAAUGACCAAUACAUGAACCCUUUUGUUAGCUUUUUUCUCCAUUGGUUUUUGUUCUCCAAUAUAAUUU
rnacentral:lncRNA from 1 species